GCUUCGUGGUGUAGUGGUCAGCACACUCGGUUUGUAUUCGGGAGGUCCGUGGUUCGAGUCCCGGCGAUGGCA
rnacentral:tRNA from 1 species